rnacentral:misc_RNA from 1 species
GAAAUGCGAUAAGUAGUGUGAAUUGCAGAAUUCAGUGAAUCAUCGAAUCUUUGAACGCACAUUGCGCCCUUUGGUAUUCCAAAGGGCAUGCCUGUUCGAGCGUCAUUUGUACCCUCAAGCUUUGCUUGGUGUUGGGCGUCUUGUCUCUAGCUUUGCUGCAGACUCGCCUUAAAGUAAUUGGCAGCCGGCCUACUGGUUUCGGAGCGCAGCACAAGUCGCACUCUCUAUCAGCAAAGGUCUAGCAUCCAUUAAGCCUUUUUUCAACUUUUGACCUCGGAUCAGGUAGGGAUACCCGCUGAACUUAAGC